UGGCAAUGGAUAUAACCUACCUGCAAUUCUGAUAACCAUGCAUGAAGCGUAUGACAAGAAUUGUUGAAUUCCUUGAUAUAAGCUG